CGCCUCCAAGACAUGUUUAUGCUGAGUCUAAGGGAGAGGCUGAGCCUCGGUGAAGUGAAGCCAUGAAGGACCUCGACUUCAAGGCAGGAUCGAGUUUGACUUUGUGACGCUGACAGGGAUCGCGAAGGAUUUCCUCUCGAACUUUGCCGAUGCAAAUGGAGAAGCCAAGUACACGAACGUCCUCCAAGAAGUAGCAAAUAGAAAAAUUCAUGCUGAUGAGAUUGAGCUCGAGGACUUAAGUCGAUUACAAGGACUUAGAUGAAGAAUUUCUUAGACGGGUCACUUAAAAUACUCGACGAUAUAUUGGAAUUUUCCCCGAGGCCAUCGAUGAGCUCAUGCCAGAACCCAUGGAGCCCUUUCCAGAUGAUGAUCACGACAUACUUUUAACCCAGAGGUCUGAAGAUAGGAGAGAUAAUGUGGACGGGGUGGAUCCACUACAGAAGAUGCAUUCUGAAAACAAAUGAUACCUUGAAGUUUAUAUUAGAGCAUCUUCGAAAGGACGGCCAUUAACUAUUAGAGAGGUCAAAGCAUCUUAUAUCGGUCAGCUAGUAAGGACGUCUGCGAUCAUUACAUGCUGUUCAGAUAUCAAGCCGUUGAUGCAGUUAGCUGUUUAUACGUGUGAACAUCUGCAUCGUAUGUUCCUAUUUGUGAUUUGAACGUGUUCACUCAGCUUCUUAGUUUGAUCAUCUUUUGAAAUCAACAUCUGAAUCUACAAGGUAAGUACCUCUAUACUCUGUUCUUGGAGAAAUAAAGACGAGAAAUCUUAACUACUGGUUUCUUGAAGAUCGUCUGCCAUUGAGUUCCUGUUUGUGAUUUGAACAAAAUUUCAUUGCAUAUGUGAUGAUUAGAAUAUGGAUUGUGGCAUCAAUCAGUUCCCUGGUUGAUGAAGAUUUUUUAUGAUGUUAAGUUUUUGAAGCUAGAAAAAUGGUGAACAGAGCUUAGGUGAAUGAUGAACAAAGCAAAGAGUUGAUCAUUUCUCUGUCGGACGUUGGAAAGAAAUAAUAAAUGAAAGAGGCAAAGGGAAACCAAGCGAAGAAUGAGUUCAUGUUCUUAAGGUGAUGGACUGAGAAAGAGAUCGAAAGAAAGAAAAUAAAAGAAAGAAAGCAAUAAAAAACUAAAAAAAUAUAUUUAUAGAGGAAGAGAAAGUUUAGCUGUGCUACGUGUUUGGGCGUAUAAGAAGAAUAAUAAGGGGAAAAAGAAAUUAAAGGGAAUAAAAAAAUCAUAAAAUAAUUAAAAAAACUGAUAAAAAUUAAAAAUACAUAAAAAAGGAGAAAUAAGUGCAACUGUGCAAGCCUCAGUUAGGUGGUUGCAUCUUAGGUUGUAGCGUUAGUUGAAUUUCAAUUUAGUUUGGGCUGAUUUGUUUAGGGAGAUAUUUUCUUUGAAUUUUGGAAAUGAAUCCAAACUUUAGAUAGUCUUUUUUUUCAGAUGAAACAAAUGAAAAGAAAAAAAAUAUAGAAAAUGUCAAACUUGUAUAAAAUUGAAAAGAUCAAAAUCUCAUUGCAUUAAUUUUAGAUUUGCAUCUAAGGAUUAGUUCGUAUACAUGUUUUUCCUCUUUUGUAGGUUUCAUUAACAAUAGAUUCGUUUUAGAUAUUAGAAUUAGAAUUACACUUUGGAUUUUAUUUGAUUUUAGCUCAUAGGGUUGCUCUCCUGUCACUUAAGAUGAGGCCUUGUGAUGUUCUUUACCCGACAUUGCAUUGGGUUAUUUUACCGUACCUUACCUUUUAUUUGUUCUUCAUCACUAUUCUUGAUGCGUUUGUUGUGAUUGCUCUUAUAUCAUUUUUUGUGUUGUGAUUCAUUGUUUUAAUUGAAUGGUUAAGUUACAUUCUAGGCCCAUAAUAAACAUAAAAAAGAUUACAUGUACACUUAGCAGACGAAAACAUUAGAACUAAUAAUUGGACAAAGACCACAUGGGACACUUAGUUAACAAUGAACCAAGUUAGGUGAUGAAAGGGUAUCAGUUGAAUAACUAGUGUAAUUAAGUCCUCCAAUCUAGAACUCUGGUUGCGUAGGAAGGGAGGUAUUCUCCCAUAUCUCAUUUGAUUUCUAGCCAAAUUUAAUAGGUUAGCGGUGACUCCUUAUCAUAUAGAAUUCUUAUAGGAUUAAUCAACUAAAAUGAAAUUCCAACAUCGAGCUAAGGGUUUGGGAGAAUUGGUGCCGAUUGAGGACUGUUGGUCCUCAACUCGACAUGACCUAUAAACCUAUCUCCCUGGUUGGCAGACCCACUUCGAGAAGGUUGCAACUGAUGCAUAAAGAAGAGAUCGCAUUUGUAAUGUUAAUUUUUCCUGAAACAAGAAGAAUGCACGUUGAGAAAUCUCUCUACCUUCCAAAUUUCCAUUAAAUGAUCCACAAAUAUGGCAAAAUAUUCGUGAACCAAUAAUCCACACAAAAUUACUCCCUAUCUAAAUCCUCAUAAUGGACUUUUGCAAAUUCGAACACUUCAUCCAUGUCUUGGAUUUUGAUAAUAGGUCAUAUUUGCGAACCUCCUCAAUUCGUCUCUCCAGAGUUGAAUGUUGUCCUACUUCCCAAAAGUCCUUCCCACGUGGAAAACCAACGAAUUCUCUAAUCACGAGUAAAUCAAAAUUCUAGAUGAAAAGCUCUGCCUAAUUCUUAGCUAGAAGUCCUCCAAAAAAUGUGUAUUCAACAUGCACGGCACAAAAAAAUUUACGCAAGGCCAAGAAAAAGAGUGUGGCUAAACUACAUAGUGGGGCCGGACUCAAAUGGGCGAAACAGAAAAUUCACUACCACCUAUCAAAGACUUCCUGUUCUCAUUGGAAUUGAAUUUCCUAAGAAAUUUUUGUUGGCUUUUUUUCCUUGAAAUUUCAUAAUAGUAAUUAUUUUUUGUCCUCAACCACAUCAGCAAACAUCCCUCAAUUCAUAUAGCCACGACCAAGAAUAAGGCCCUGCCGAUGGUGAUCGCCUUAUAUAGCGAUAAGAACGUCAUCAUUAAUACUCUACUCCCCACUCGUUUCAGGGCAACGCCGAAUGCGUACCCCAGUGCCCGCAACCUCAGUGGGAAGAUCUCUGAGCUGUACACCAUAUGAUUGGUCCUAUUCUAAUGGAGAAGAAGACCACGUAGGACAACACUGGGGAGAUGCACAUGGUCACUGUCCACAUGAGCUUCGUGUGGCUGUGGUCAAUGACAAUGAAGCACCUACUGAGAGAGUCGAGUGACAUGAUCAUCCCACCAAUGCUACUCGCAGCAACGAUUGGGCGGCAACCGUUGAUGUUGAAUAGCGUUGGCGAGAUGAUCUUGUCGCUCACCUCUCUCGGAAUGCGUCUCACCAUCAUCGCCCACAGCAACAUGAAACCCAUAUUGGCGGGGGUCAUGUGAAUCACCUCGUUGUCCUAGGUGGCCUUCUUCUUCAUCAGGAUGGGGCCAAUCACAUGGGUGUACAUCUGAAAGAUCUUUCCACAGAUGUUGCGUGCGCUGGAGUGCGUAAUCGAUGUUGAUAUUAAUCAGGUGAUGAGAGCAGUGUUAUUGAUGAUGUAUGUGUCGCUGUACAAUGCGAUCAUUUUAGGGCCGCCUUUUUGUUCACGGUGAUUGCAAGUGUCACUUGGGAGUUGUUUUGCACGAUGAUGCCGGAGACACAGGAGCAAAUAUUGGAGAAGAUGGGGCAGUUUUCGGUAAAUAAGCUAAGUCCAACAUUUUCGUUUGUUCGGUUUUCUGUAGCUGGUUUAGUUGAAUCGUGUCGUUCCUCUUUUGUUGAUCCGCAGAGAUAUUGCCGUUGAGAAUAGCUUACUCACAAGCUGCCACCUUUCACUGGAGUUCCACGACCCUCCAGUCUUUCUGGACUUUAUCACCUACUCAUCAUUUGGGUAAGUAUAAACUUGAUUAAUCGAAGCUUGGGAAUAUAUUGACUUUCUGAUUUUGAGUCAUAUACUUGGAGCAUGCGUCCUUUUCCUUCUUGUCGUAUUGCAGUCAUGGAUAAGCUAAGUCCAACGUUUUCGUUCAUUCGUGGUGCUCGGGGACGAGGGGUGGACGAUAGAGGAGUGCAGGCGCAUGAUAGGGGAGGUGGACAAGUGGGGACGGGUUCGUGUGCUUCGAGGACUUCGCUUCACAUAACUGCAUGAAACCGAGAGUGGGCGAUUGCUGUCCAGAUUAAAGAGUUGCUUAAUUCCAUGAGAAACGGAGAGUCUCAAGUUUGUUUAGGCUUGAUUUGGCUGUUACAUAAAAUCUUUGCAAGCACAAUCGUUUGUCUCAUGUUCUGGUGACUAUGACCGAUGAAAGACGACGAUUGUGUUCAAUGAUUACUUGCUGUCCAGAUUA